AGCUAGUUGGUGAGGUAAAAGCCCACCAAGGCAAUGAUGGGUAGCCGGCCUGAGAGGGUGAACGGUCACAUUGGGACUGAGAUACGGCCCAAACUCCUACGGGAGGCAGCAGCUAAGAAUAUUCCGCAAUGGACGAAAGUCUGACGGAGCGACGCCGCGUGGAUGAAGAAGGCUGAAAAGUUGUAAAAUCCUUUUGUUGAUGAAGAAUAAGGGGAAGAGGGAAUGCUUCUCUGAUGACGGUAGUCGGCGAAUAAGCCCCGGCUAAUUACGUGCCAGCAGCCGCGGUAACACGUAAGGGGCGAGCGUUGUUCGGAAUUAUUGGGCGUAAAGGGUAUGUAGGCGGUUAGGUAAGCCUGGUGUGAAAUCUACGAGCUCAACUCGUAAACUGCAUUGGGUACUGCUUGACUUGAAUCACGGAGGGGAAACCGGAAUUCCAAGUGUAGGGGUGGAAUCUGUAGAUAUUUGGAAGAACACCGGUGGCGAAGGCGGGUUUCUGGCCGAUGAUUGACGCUGAUAUACGAAGGUGCGGGGAGCAAACAGGAUUAGAUACCCUGGUAGUCCGCACAGUAAACGAUGUACACUAGGUGUCGGGGCAAGAGCUUCGGUGCCGACGCAAACGCAUUAAGUGUACCGCCUGGGAAGUAUGCCCGCAAGGGUGAAACUCAAAGGAAUUGACGGGGGCCCGCACAAGCGGUGGAGCAUGUGGUUUAAUUCGAUGAUACGCGAGGAACCUUACCAAGGUUUAAAUGGAGACUGACAGGUGUAGAGAUACGCUUUUCUUCGGACAGUUUUCAAGGUGCUGCAUGGUUGUCGUCAGCUCGUGCCGUGAGGUGUCAGGUUAAGUCCUAUAACGAGCGCAACCCCUGCCAUUAGUUGCUAGCGAGUAAAGUCGAGCACUCUAGUGGGACUGCCGGUGCAAACCGUGAGGAAGGUGGGGAUGACGUCAAAUCAUCACGGCCCUUACAUCUUGGGCUACACACGUGCUACAAUGGUCGUUACAGAGAGCAGCCACUGCGUGAGCAGGCGCGAAUCUAUAAAGACGAUCACAGUUCGGAUCGGAGUCUGCAACUCGACUCCGUGAAGCUGGAAUCGCUAGUAAUCGGAUAUCAGCCAUGAUCCGGUGAAUACGUUCCCGGGCCUUGUACACACCGCCCGUCAAGCCAUGGAAGCUGGGAGUACCUGAAGUCGGUGACCGCAAGGAGCUGCCUAGGGUAAAACCAGUGACUGGGGCUAAGUCGUAACAAGGUAGCCGUACCGGAAGGUGUGGCUG
rnacentral:rRNA from 1 species